rnacentral:rRNA from 1 species
AUGAACGCUAGCGGCAGGCCUAACACAUGCAAGGCGAACGGUAACAUUGAGAAGCUUGCUUCUUAGAUGACGAGUGGCGCACGGGUGCGUAACGCGUAUACAAUCUACCUUUUACAGGGGGAUAGCCUUUAGAAAUGAAGAUUAAUACCCCAUAGUAUAUAUUAAUGGCAUCGUUAAUAUAUUAAAGUUUCGGCGGUAAAAGAUGAGUAUGCGUUCUAUUAGCUAGAUGGUGUGGUAACGGCACACCAUGGCAACGAUAGAUAGGGGCCCUGAGAGGGGGAUCCCCCACACUGGUACUGAGACACGGACCAGACUCCUACGGGAGGCAGCAGUGAGGAAUAUUGCACAAUGGGCGCAAGCCUGAUGCAGCCAUGCCGCGUGUAGGAAGACUGCCCUAUGGGUUGUAAACUGCUUUUAUACGGGAAGAAACCCGCCUACGUGUAGGUGGCUGACGGUACCGUAAGAAUAAGCACCGGCUAACUCCGUGCCAGCAGCCGCGGUAAUACGGAGGGUGCAAGCGUUAUCCGGAAUCAUUGGGUUUAAAGGGUCCGUAGGUGGAUUAAUAAGUCAGAGGUGAAAGCCUGCAGCUUAACUGUAGAAUUGCCUUUGAAACUGUUAAUCUUGAAUUAUUGUGAAGUAGUUAGAAUAUGUAGUGUAGCGGUGAAAUGCAUAGAUAUUACAUAGAAUACCGAUUGCGAAGGCAGAUUACUAACAAUAUAUUGACACUGAUGGACGAAAGCGUGGGUAGCGAACAGGAUUAGAUACCCUGGUAGUCCACGCCGUAAACGAUGGAUACUAGCUGUUCGGGAUUUAUCUCAGUGGCCAAGCGAAAGUGAUAAGUAUCCCACCUGGGGAGUACGUUCGCAAGAAUGAAACUCAAAGGAAUUGACGGGGGCCCGCACAAGCGGUGGAGCAUGUGGUUUAAUUCGAUGAUACGCGAGGAACCUUACCAGGGCUUAAAUGUAGAUUGACAGGGCUAGAGAUAGCUAUUUCUUCGGACUACUUACAAGGUGCUGCAUGGUUGUCGUCAGCUCGUGCCGUGAGGUGUCAGGUUAAGUCCUAUAACGAGCGCAACCCCUACCGUUAGUUGCCAGCAUGUAAAGAUGGGGACUCUAGCGGGACUGCCGGUGCAAACCGUGAGGAAGGUGGUGAUGACGUCAAAUCAUCACGGCCCUUACGUCCUGGGCUACACACGUGCUACAAUGGCCGGUACAGAGGGAAGCUACCCUGCAAAGGGAUGCGGAUCUAUAAAGCCGGUCACAGUUCGGAUCGGGGUCUGCAACUCGACCCCGUGAAGCUGGAAUCGCUAGUAAUCGGAUAUCAGCCAUGAUCCGGUGAAUACGUUCCCGGGCCUUGUACACACCGCCCGUCAAGCCAUGGAAGCUGGGAGUGCCUGAAGUCGGUCACCGCAAGGAGCCGCCUAGGGUAAAACUAGUAACUAGGGCUA